UACAGAGAUCUCAAGCGUUGUUCGGAUUCAUUGGGCGUAAAGGGUGCGUAGGCGGCGUGGUAAGUCGGAUGUGAAAUCUCGGAGCUUAACUCCGAAACUGCAUUCGAUACUGCCGUGCUUGAGGACUGGAGAGGAGACUGGAAUUUACGGUGUAGCGGUGAAAUGCGUAGAUAUCGUAAGGAAGACCAGUGGCGAAGGCGGGUCUCUGGACAGUUCCUGACGCUGAGGCACGAAGGCCAGGGGAGCAAACGGG
rnacentral:rRNA from 1 species